rnacentral:rRNA from 1 species
UGGGGAAUAUUGGACAAUGGGCGGAAGCCUGAUCCAGCAACGCCGCGUGAGGGAUGACGGCCUUCGGGUUGUAAACCUCUUUCAGCACCGACGAAGCGCAAGUGACGGUAGGUGCAGAAGAAGGACCGGCCAACUACGUGCCAGCAGCCGCGGUAAUACGUAGGGUCCGAGCGUUGUCCGGAAUUAUUGGGCGUAAAGGGCUCGUAGGCGGUUGGUCGCGUCGGGAGUGAAAACACCGGGCUUAACUCGGUGCUUGCUUUCGAUACGGGCAGACUGGAGGUAUGCAGGGGAGAACGGAAUUCCUGGUGUAGCGGUGAAAUGCGCAGAUAUCAGGAGGAACACCGGUGGCGAAGGCGGUUCUCUGGGCAUUACCUGACGCCGAGGAGCGAAAGUGUGGGGAGCGAACAGG